GCUCUUUUCUAAUGGUGUGUUCUUAACGUUUAGAAACAUCUCAUAGGUAAUACAUAGUACCCCCUCAAGCCUAUUUAGCAACAAAAUAAUCCCCAAGCCCCAGUAAUAAAAAAUCCACAUGUUUAUAUCAUUCUUGCAGAUAUAGUUCUGUUUCAGGAUCAAGGACAUGAGAAGAAAGAACGCUGAUUUUUAGUGUAUUAUGUCCUUGUAGAGUAGACUGGCAAAUUUUUUCUUUGCUAUGGUGUUGCUAAUAUAGGAUCCUACUUUACAUUUUUACCACUUGUUUACAAAGCUGGUGUAUGGAUCUUUACACCUUGGAAUAUGAACGUAAAUGGUCACUACAGUAUUAUGGAAAGGAAGAAAUCUAACACAUGCAUUUCUCAGACUGCUUUCUCUUUCUUCUUCCAGGAAAAACCAGUUCAGUUAUUAAGGGAAGCUCUCAACACAGAGCAGAGCAAGAGAAGGCAGGGCUUCCGAGAGAAUAGCUGUGUACCAUCAAAGCGAAUUGGGUUGCACACAGACAUGGUAUAUCAUACACGAGACAAAGGCCUGCUGUUGAAUACAUCUACACAGUGAGUGAAUGUUGCUGCUUCCAGGGCUGUCCUGAGGAGAGGCCCCCACCAACCUACCUCCCAAGUCAAGGUCUUGUUGACCGGACAGCCUUCAAGUUCACCAGGGCAUUGUCCCGAGCCUGCAGUGGGAGCUGGGCGAGGCAAGUGUGCAAGGAGGGAUGGUUCCACGCAGAGCCCCGGCUAGUGUCAGAGGUCUCUUGGUACACAUCUCCUUUCCUGGGAACUUCAAGGGACUUUGAACCUGAAAAUCCUGGAGAAUAGUUAUCUGUAAUG
rnacentral:lncRNA from 1 species